rnacentral:snoRNA from 1 species
GUUUGGAAGAAGACCUGGAAUGCCUAAGGUCUUUGGGAGAUACAGGAUACUUGAUUUGUUUUGCCUUCCUUUGGCUGGCAUAU